rnacentral:rRNA from 1 species
GCUAAACGCGAAGAACCUUACCUGGGUUUGACAUAUACCGGAAACGUCUAGAGAUAGGCGCCCCGCAAGGUCGGUAUACAGGUGGUGCAUGGCUGUCGUCAGCUCGUGUCGUGAGAUGUUGGGUUAAGUCCCGCAACGAGCGCAACCCUCGUCCAAUGUUGCCAGCGGAUAAUGCCGGGGACUCAUUGGAGACCGCCGGGGUCAACUCGGAGGAAGGUGGGGAUGACGUCAAGUCAUCAUGCCCCUUAUGUCCAGGGCUUCACGCAUGCUACAAUGGCCGGUACAAAGAGCUGCGAACCUGCAAGGGUGAGCGAAUCUCAAAAAAGCCGGUCUCAGUUCGGAUUGGGGUCUGCAACUCGACCCCAUGAAGUCGGAGUCGCUAGUAAUCGCAGAUCAGCAACGCUGCGGUGAAUACGUUCCCGGGUCUUGUACACACCG